UGAAGAAAAAUAUUUUUUAGUGAAAUUUGGAACAAGUUAGAGUAACAUACAUGGCGGACAAAUGCAAUUAUAUUAAAGAUGUUGCCUGACAAGAAAGUGUGUAUGCUAUUAUAUCACAGCUUCAAGCUAUGUGAUACAGAUAUGUUUUGUUAUGCCGGAUAUCCUGGUUUUGUGGGGGAUCUUAGAGUUUUUCAUAAACUGAUACCUUAGACAAAUUCGUUUGCUAUCAUAAUUCUAUUGGAGAGAUAUGACGGACUUUCCCACCACAUGCUGUGAUUUUGAAGGGCAUUAGAAAAUGCAUUAUACCUCUUGAUAAUAAGUUCGCAGAAUUGUCUUCGCUCCUAACAUGCGACCACACCUCAGCUGGAAGAACGUUGGUAAUUUCUAAAACUCUCUCGAUGGACGGUAAAUGGCUUCUACCGUGGUACAUCAUUCUUUAUCUAAUGCUCCGUAAACAUUUUGAGAAGCGGCAUAAAAUCCAUAUAAAAUCAAACUGGCCGAAAGAAGAUUGAGAAAUGUUGCGAGAUAUGCGGAGAAUAGUGGAAUUGGAUUAACUCCCACGACGCUUGCAUUAAAAGUUUGACGAAGAUUAUGACAAGAUCUAAAAGACCUAACGGAUUAAAUGAUUACUGAUACGAGAAAGGAACGAUAAUUUUCGUAACAAAUUCGUCGAUAAAGUGUCUAACUCUAAUUCUAAGAACUCGAUGUUAUUUGUUCGUGUAAACUACGUGUCUGGGAACCAUUAUUUUGUACGUACAGAUUGCAAAGCAUUUAUUUCAAGUAAAUGUUGUCACGACUUGACAGCUGAGACGCCAUGUUUCACUAAGAAAUGGUAAAAAAUAUAUCAAUUUUGAAAUUUUUGAUCGUUCUAGACGUAGACUCCACUUUCCAGACACGUAUUAAUGUAUAUACUUUAAUCCUGGAAAAGGAUUUUCGAAUGGCUGAAACAGAAAAAAAGUAUUUGUUAUAUAAAAAUUACAUGAUUUAAUCAGUAAAACAGACGGCUUUAGAAACCUUUUAAGGGUUGGUUC